rnacentral:rRNA from 1 species
UACGUAGGGUGCAGGCGUUAUUCGGAAUUACUGGGCGUAAAGCGUGCGCAGGCGGUUUCUUAAGUCAGAUGUGAAAGCCCCGGGCUUAACCUGGGAACUGCGUUUGAAACUGGGAGUCUUGAGUGUGGCAGAGGGGGGUGGAAUUCCACGUGUAGCAGUGAAAUGCGUAGAUAUGUGGAGGAACACCGAUGGCGAAGGCAGCCCCCUGGGUUAACACUGACGCUCAUGCACGAAAGCGUGGGGAGCAAACAGG